rnacentral:tRNA from 1 species
GUGCCGCUAGCUCAGCUGGUAGAGCAACGGACUUUUAAUCCGUAGGUCCAGGGUUCGAGUCCCUGGCGGCACA